rnacentral:rRNA from 1 species
AGAGUUUGAUCCUGGCUCAGGACGAACGCUGGCGGCGCGCCUAACACAUGCAAGUCGUACGAGCGAGAGAGAGCUUGCUUUCUCAAGCGAGUGGCGAACGGGUGAGUAACGCGUGAGGAACCUGCCUCAAAGAGGGGGACAACAGUUGGAAACGACUGCUAAUACCGCAUAAGCCCACGGUGCCGCAUGGCACAGGGGGAAAAGGAGCAAUCCGCUUUGAGAUGGCCUCGCGUCCGAUUAGCUAGUUGGUGAGGUAAUGGCCCACCAAGGCAACGAUCGGUAGCCGGACUGAGAGGUUGAACGGCCACAUUGGGACUGAGACACGGCCCAGACUCCUACGGGAGGCAGCAGUGGGGAAUAUUGCACAAUGGGGGAAACCCUGAUGCAGCGACGCCGCGUGGAGGAAGAAGGUCUUCGGAUUGUAAACUCCUGUUGUUGAGGAAGAUAAUGACGGUACUCAACAAGGAAGUGACGGCUAACUACGUGCCAGCAGCCGCGGUAAAACGUAGGUCACAAGCGUUGUCCGGAAUUACUGGGUGUAAAGGGAGCGCAGGCGGGAAGACAAGUUGGAAGUGAAAUCUAUGGGCUCAACCCAUAAACUGCUUUCAAAACUGUUUUUCUUGAGUAGUGCAGAGGUAGGCGGAAUUCCCGGUGUAGCGGUGGAAUGCGUAGAUAUCGGGAGGAACACCAGUGGCGAAGGCGGCCUACUGGGCACCAACUGACGCUGAGGCUCGAAAGUGUGGGUAGCAAACAGGAUUAGAUACCCUGGUAGUCCACACCGUAAACGAUGAUUACUAGGUGUUGGAGGAUUGACCCCUUCAGUGCCGCAGUUAACACAAUAAGUAAUCCACCUGGGGAGUACGACCGCAAGGUUGAAACUCAAAGGAAUUGACGGGGGCCCGCACAAGCAGUGGAGUAUGUGGUUUAAUUCGACGCAACGCGAAGAACCUUACCAAGUCUUGACAUCCUGCGACGGACAUAGAAAUAUGUCUUUCCUUCGGGACGCAGAGACAGGUGGUGCAUGGUUGUCGUCAGCUCGUGUCGUGAGAUGUUGGGUUAAGUCCCGCAACGAGCGCAACCCUUAUGGUCAGUUACUACGCAAGAGGACUCUGGCCAGACUGCCGUUGACAAAACGGAGGAAGGUGGGGAUGACGUCAAAUCAUCAUGCCCUUUAUGACUUGGGCUACACACGUACUACAAUGGCGUUAAACAAAGAGAAGCAAGACCGCGAGGUGGAGCAAAACUCAGAAACAACGUCCCAGUUCGGACUGCAGGCUGCAACUCGCCUGCACGAAGUCGGAAUUGCUAGUAAUCGCAGAUCAGCAUGCUGCGGUGAAUACGUUCCCGGGCCCCUUGUACACACCGCCCGUC